GAUGAACGCUGGCGGCGUGCCUAAUACAUGCAAGUCGAGCGAACAGAUAAGGAGCUUGCUCCUUUGACGUUAGCAGCGGACGGGUGAGUAACACGUGGGUAACCUACCUAUAAGACUGGAAUAACUCCGGGAAACCGGGGCUAAUGCCGGAUAACAUUUAGAACCGCAUGGUUCUAAAGUGAAAGAUGGUUUUGCUAUCACUUAUAGAUGGACCCGCGCCGUAUUAGCUAGUUGGUAAGGUAACGGCUUACCAAGGCAACGAUACGUAGCCGACCUGAGAGGGUAAUCGGCCACACUGGAACUGAGACACGGUCCAGACUCCUACGGGAGGCAGCAGUAGGGAAUCUUCCGCAAUGGGCGAAAGCCUGACGGAGCAACGCCGCGUGAGUGAUGAAGGUCUUCGGAUCGUAAAACUCUGUUAUUAGGGAAGAACAAAUGUGUAAGUAACUGUGCACGUCUUGACGGUACCUAAUCAGAAAGCCACGGCUAACUACGUG
rnacentral:rRNA from 1 species